rnacentral:rRNA from 1 species
AUUGAACGCUGGCGGCAGGCCUAACACAUGCAAGUCGAGCGGCAGCGGGAAAGUAGCUUGCUACUUUUGCCGGCGAGCGGCGGACGGGUGAGUAAUGCCUGGGAAAUUGCCCAGUCGAGGGGGAUAACAGUUGGAAACUACUGCUAAUACCGCAUACGCCCUACGGGGGAAAGCAGGGGACCUUCGGGCCUUGCGCGAUUGGAUAUGCCCAGGUGGGAUUAGCUAGUUGGUGAGGUAAUGGCUCACCAAGGCGACGAUCCCUAGCUGGUCUGAGAGGAUGAUCAGCCACACUGGAACUGAGACACGGUCCAGACUCCUACGGGAGGCAGCAGUGGGGAAUAUUGCACAAUGGGGGAAACCCUGAUGCAGCCAUGCCGCGUGUGUGAAGAAGGCCUUCGGGUUGUAAAGCACUUUCAGCGAGGAGGAAAGGUUGAUGCCUAAUACGUAUCAACUGUGACGUUACUCGCAGAAGAAGUACCGGCUAACUCCGUGCCAGCCGCCGCGGUAAUAC